rnacentral:rRNA from 1 species
UACGAAGGGGGCUAGCGUUGCUCGGAAUCACUGGGCGUAAAGCGCACGUAGGCGGCUUUCUAAGUCAGGGGUGAAAUCCUGGAGCUCAACUCCAGAACUGCCUCUGAUACUGGAGAGCUAGAGUCCGGAAGAGGUGAGUGGAACUGCGAGUGUAGAGGUGAAAUGCGCAGAUAUCGGGAAGAACACCCGUGGCGAAGGCGGCUCUCUGGGACGGUACUGACGCUGAGACGCGAAAGCGUGGGGAGCGAACAGG